UGAGGAAUAUUGGGCAAUGGAGGCAACUCUGACCCAGCCAUGCCGCGUGAGUGAAGAAGGUUUUCGGAUUGUAAAGCUCUUUCGGAUGUGACGAUGAUGACGGUAGCAUCUAAAGAAGCCCCGGCUAACUUCGUGCCAGCAGCCGCGGUAAUACGAAGGGGGCAAGCGUUGUUCGGAAUUACUGGGCGUAAAGGGAGUGUAGGCGGUUUAGUAAGAUAGUGGUGAAAUCCCAGAGCUUAACUUUGGAAUUGCCAUUAUAACUAUUAGACUAGAAUUACAGAGAGGAUAGUGGAAUACCCAGUG
rnacentral:rRNA from 1 species